rnacentral:rRNA from 1 species
UACGGAGGGGGCUAGCGUUGUUCGGAAUCAUUGGGCGUAAAGGGCGCGUAGGCGGCCACGCAAGUCGAAUGUGAAAUCCCUCGGCUCAACCGAGGAACUGCAUCCGAAACUGCGAGGCUCGAGUCCUGGAGAGGGUAGUGGAAUUCCCAGUGUAGCGGUGAAAUGCGUAGAUAUCCGGAGGAACACCGGUGGCGAAGGCGGAUCUCUGGGCCUGUCCUGACGCUGAGGCGCGAAAGCUAGGGGAGCGAACAGG